UGUGCCACCAUUUUCAUCUUACGCGUCCCCUGAGUGUACACACAGAAUUCAUUGUUUUUUUGGUAAGUCUUUGACAUUAUUAUAAUAUUAACCCGUCGUCGAUAUCUUAAUCUCCAUGUUUUAUAACGAAUAACGAUUGAUAUCGGGUUAGCGUUACGUUAUCAUUGCCGUUUUUUUUGUCCCUCUGAAUUAUUUAAUGAACUUAAAUAUGGAUGAACUAUCCAAAAAUGAUAGUUGUUUUUUUUAAACUCGCAAAAAAAAAAAUCACUCUUAUAUAAAAAAAAACCUGUUAACAAAUUAUUAAAAAUUAUUAUUCAUUGUUCAAAUUUUCUGAAUUUCUUUUGCAGUAUGAGUAUAGCAUGUUUAACAAGUACCUAUGCUUUUACAUACAUACACAUGACACACCACAUGAUAAACUGAUCUUUGAAACUUAAAUACAAUAAAAAAUUGCCAGUAACAAAAAUAUUUUAUCUAAAUAAAUAACUUCAUAUUGAUAAUUUUUGAUCAUUAUGUAAAAACAAUUAUGGCACAGUUAGUAUCGUACAAGCGAGUCACUAACGUGAUCGAUAAUGGGGAAUUUGAUUGCUCAUAAUACUUACAAAAAGAAAUUUAUAAUUUGUUUUUGUUCUUAUUUUAGUAUAGUAUUAUGUCAAUAAGAAGUACAUAAAAUUAAAAAAAAGACACUGGAUAAUGAGGACGGGUGCAUUCACUGUAUAGAUAAUUUAAUGUAUAUUUUUAAGCAACGAUAAACCAUUACUUACGAAAAAAAACGAUUUAGAUGGGAGUUCAGUUGAUAGUGAUGCUUUGUCAACAAUAUAUAUACCAUAUUAUAGUAAAAUAAUUAAAUAAACUAUAUAUAUUUUCUAUAAUAAUUUUUGUUAUAUUAAUGUUAUACCGUUUUUCCUGGUUUUCCCAUGUUUAAUCCCGGUUUUUCACAUUUCCAGGGAAAGCUCCUAAGAAAAUUGAAAAAUUACCUCCCUUAAGUACUUCCUCACGCCAAUUUUCUUUCAAAAAAUUUGCUAUAUGUAGAAAUCCGAGUAAGUCUGUUGGUAGAAAAGUUGCGCACAGAUUUAAAAAAAUAAAUAAAUAAACAUCUUUGUAAAACUAUAAGCUUUUUUGUUUCCCUCAGAAUCUAAAAUAUAAUUUUAAUGUUAGUGAAAUGCUAACAUUGAUACCAAUGAAGGGUUAAUAUUAUGGGCCCGUUAACUUGUGGGGUUAGUUGGGCGGAUAUCUUACAUUAAUCAGUUAUAAUACUUGUUUGGCCUUUUAAUGAUAGUUAAAUGUUAUACUACAUAUUAUAUUUUUCUGUAUUAAGAUAUUAAUUGCAUAGCUACUUAUUCGUAUAAAGCUCUAAUCUUGGUUACGUUACGAAAAUAAUUAAACAAAUCUAGUUUCGCUUAUUCUAAAUAUCUGAGAAUAAUUUUAAUGUUUUACAAAAUAUUUGUUGACACAAACAUCAUAAUAUUUUAAGGUUAUAAGUAGGUACUGAUAAUGAAACACACUUGUACUUGAUACUAAAUAUUUGUAUUAAGAUUGUUAGAAGUUGGAUAUAGGUAUUAUAAAAAAAAACCUAUUUGUACCUUUGUGAAAAUAGUUUGUACUUUUUACACACACACACACACACACAACCAUUAUUCCUAAUUUAAUUAGUUUGCUGUAGUGUUAUAGUUACCUAUAUAAUUAAACAAAUGUAAAAGCUGUCAUUCAGUUAUGGUCGGGGAUUAAAUGAAAUUAAAAGAAAGGUGUAACUUGAACUAUGUUGAACCGAAAAUUAUUAUUUUUUUUUUAUAGUUAAAUAUUAUUUAAAAAUUGGACCGGUGCCUAUUUAUUUUAGAAUAUUAUCUUUUAGUGUUAUCUAUGUAUCUGGAAAUUAUGCAAUACAAAUUGGAACAAAUACAGCUUAGCACUUGUGUACAUAUUUUCUUUCUUAGUGUGUGUUUUAAGGCACUAGAUUAGAAAGUGUUUUAAAUAAUUCACUCUUUUAUUUUGGAUGAUACAUACAAACAAGAUUAAACAAAUUAUUGUGUAAUGGAUCAAUCAGAAUUGCAUGAUGGAAAAAAUGCUGUUUUUAUGGGUACAUACUUAAUAUUAUGAAAUUCAAAAUACUGAUUAUUUACUAUAUAAAAAAUGAGGAUUGGUGUGUUGUACAACAUAUACAUAUAUUAAUUUACACAUUUUUUUAAUUAUGUAUUUAUAUAAUUUAAAGAUGCAAUGUAUUUGACAAUAUAUAUAUAUACAUUUUAAAUUAAAUUUAUUUUAUAUAUAUUUAGGUAUAAACAUUGUACAUACAAUUUAAAAAAAAAAUUAAUUUUUCAUGAUAUAUAUGUUUAACAGUCCCUUAUCUAUCAUAUUAUUACUAUUAUUAUUAUUGUUUAUUUCUUCCAAAAAAUAAUGGGCCUCACUGAACAGGUUUAUGUGGGGGUCCAUGAGUUCACAAUUUAUACUAAGGAAGAUAAUACAUUCAAAUAAUAAUUUAAAUUCAACUAUUUUUUACAAUUUUAGACUUUGCAAGUAACUAAAUUAGAGAUGUACAAAUAUUUAAAGUUUUAAAUUUGGUUCAUUCUGCAGUCAGUUAGUUUUUAUUAUAUUUUUUAAAAGUAAUAACUGAUAGGAUUGUUUUGAAGUCUAAUGGUAGCAUAUUAUAUAUUUUUGGUCCUAUAUAUAAAUAAGUAGAUUGAGUUAGUUUUCAGUGAAUUAAGAGAACAGUAAUGUUCGAUAAUUUUAUUGUGUUAUAUCCAUGAUCAAUACUAGGUGUUAGGUUAUUUUUAAUUGUAUAUAUUAUUGGUGCCUUAUAGAACAACUAUUUUUAAUGGUAGAACAUUUAAUUCUUUGUAUACAUGUUCUGUAUGUUAAAAAUUAUUCUUUUUUAAAAUAAUUCUUAUUGUUCUAUUUUUUAUUAUUUUUAAUGGAUAAAAAUGAAAAGAAUAUUUGUACAUAAUUGUGUUGUGUAGGUAUCCAUUCUCCUUGGUAUUGGAAUAUUUUAAUAUAAUUAUGUAUUUGGAUGUUUGGAACUAGAUUUAUUUAUUUAUUAUUAUUAUCAUUAUAAAUUUAUUUUGGGAAGUGUUAUGUUCCUAUAACUUUUUUGUAGCAAUAAUACUUUUGCACAGAAAAUAUAAUUACAUAAACUUCUUUUUUUUUAUUCCCAAUUAUUAUUUCAUUGUAUUUAACCUUGCACAGUAAAACAGUCAUCUCUGUGUUAUGGUCAUUUUUUUUUGCUGCCGUCAAGUACUAUGCCUCUAAAGGACAAUUAUCUCUAACUAUUUCCUUAUUAUUUCUAGUCUCUUUGGUGACCAUUAUAUGGAAGUUUUUCUGUACAUAUUUAAUAUUUUAUCAUUUUGGUAUUGGUUUUGUUUUGUUAUUGUUAAAUCUAUUAAUAAAAAAAAAGUUUCAUUGUUUCAUACUUGUAAUAAAAAUUAUAGGUGCUGACUAGCGAAAGUUUCGCUCCAAUAUAAGACUGCUUUUAAUUUAGAUUUGAUUUUGAAGAGUAAAUUGCAUUUUGUUGUGUUAGGUGUCUACUUGUGCUAGCGUUAAAAUUAAAGUAAUGUAUAACAAUAAAUGAUAAGAUUAGUUAUAAUAUUAUGUAGAUUGUAGGUAUACAUCAUUGGUUUUAUAAUUUAUAACAAUAAAUUAGAACUAAAAUGAUAUGUUCACGUGGAAAUUGAUAUUCAAUUUUUAUUUUUCAGAAUCAAUAUUUUUAGAAAAUAUUAAAUAUGCAAAAAUCAAUGAAAAUCGACGAAAUUUGUACUUUUUUUCUAAAAUUAACAAAAUAUUCAAAAUAUUUAUUUUAAAUGUUCAAUUUUUAAGCUCUUCAUCGUAUAGUAUAGAAAGUAUUUCUAGCUUGGUCUGGUAUAAAUUCAGUGCAUACAGAAAAAUACGCAUCUCCUAUAAUUUUUGAGCCCUAGUUAUGAUACACGUCUUCAUUGCAUUUUUGUAAACCAUUAAUUGCUGAUUUUAAUGUAAUGUUUUGGUUUGCAAGUCUGUUCUUACGAUACCCCGUCGUCGCGAUGAUGCGUGGAAGAUCGAAUGUUUCCUGUGUCUCGCAACAAUAAUAUUAUAUCGUUUGGUACAAUAGUUAAUAAUAAUAAUAGUAUGACGAUGAUAAUAUUCCUUUAAAUAAUUGCGUUUUAUUAAAUUUCGCAUUAUAUUAGGCGGCGACGGAGUGUCAUCGAUAAGCUAUAUUAUAUAGGUAUAGGAUAGCUGUAUUAUAUAGGUACUUGACGAGCGUCACUGCGGCCAUUGUUAUAGCAAAAAGCCAAGGCCAUAAUUUAAUUUAUAUUAAAGGCUUUCCCGCGAACGAACGCGAGAGAAAAAAAAUAAACGACAACAAUCAUUAUAGGUAGCGGAAAUAUUCAAUUCACGACGGCGACACGCAUCCAUAUUUGUAUUGAUAGGACAUUUACUACCACCCGUUAUGUAAAGGGUCGCGUAUAGUAGGCGUACACUUUGUCGUAUUUCCUAUGUUUCUCCCGGUUUUUCGUAUUUAUUAAGAAAACUAUAUGAAUGUCUUACUCACAAACUAGACAAAAUUUUCUUUUAAAAAAUAUGAUAUUCUUGAAAUUUGAACAAAGGUUUCUGGUGGAAAAAUAUAAUAUCUUAAACAUUUUAAAUAAUGAAAUCGUUGUGUCGUAAUUUGAACAAAUCUUACGUUAUUGUCUUUUUUGAUUUUUCCAAUGAUUAUGAAAACUUCUUUAGAUAUGAAAAAAUUACUUUUCUUGACAGCGGUUAGAUAUUAAAUAGAAAAUUUAUUUAUAAUGGUAUUUUUUAGGAUAUUUUAUUUAAAUAGGUUCAAGUACCUAUUUUAGAUGUUGCAUAGAAAUUGUUAUUCACAUAUUACUAAAUUAUAAAAUUGUAUAAUUUAGUAAACGAGCUAAUUAGUUUAACUUUAGCUGAGUAGAUUGUAUUAUUGUAAUAAUUAAUUGAGUUAUAAUAAUACAUUUUGAAGGAAUCUUUUUACACAUUUUUAGAACCAUAAUAAAAUAUUAUUUUACAAACAUUAAAAUUAAAAUCUUAAACUACGAAAAUAUGGCAAUAUAAUUAUAUUAUAACGGUAACACAAACAAAAAUAUUUUAUAUUUUAAGAUUAAAAUACGAUAAAAUAAUUUUUAAAAUCCUUAAAAUACCAAAAUAUAUAGGUGUCCCACGAAGAUAUACCCACUGUAUUAUUUCCGGAGAUAAAAAAGAUAAUCAAAUUCUGUUUUUUUUUUUUUUUUAUUACUUACAGGGAUAAGAACUACAAAAAUUUACAUUUCAAUUAAUUUUUUAUGUUUUGGAAAAAAAACUUAAAAAAUAGAAUUUUAUUUUAUUAUUUAUAAAAAAUUUGAAGUUCAUCAUUUUAUAGAGUUUAUUCUUCUGAAAUUUUUGACGUAUCGACUUUAUUUUCAUUAAAUUCGUGAUUUUUGAUAAUUUUUAAAGUCAAGAGGAAAAAAGUGUACAGUCAACUGACAAUUAGCAAUAAUAAUAAUAUUAACCAAUUAACAAAUGCCAUUACUACCUGCUGUAUAAUUAUAGGUACAUUUUUCGAAUUUAUUUAAAAUAAAAAGCUUAAACGUAACAUUUUCAGAAGAAUAAACUUUGUAAAAUGGCUAUCUUUUAAUUUUUGAAAAUAAAAAAAUUAAGUUAGUUUUUUAGUUUAUUCCCAAACAAAAAAAAAAAAAAACAAAAAAUGAAAUAUAGAUAAAUAGAUAAAUACAUUUGUAGUCUUUAUCGUUGUGAGUAAUAUAAAAAAACAUAUUUGAUUAUUUUUAUUAUCCCCGAAGGUAUUAUAAUGGAUAUAUCUUCAUGGGACGGGCACCUUAUAUAUAAUACAAGUAUUCGAAUUCAUUAUUAUUUAUACUACUGAUUUGCAAACUAACUAGAACAAACUACAGAUACCCCUCGAUACCUCAUUUUUUUACGUUACUUAAUUUCUUUACAUCUUUGUAACUGUCUUUAUCCAUGUUUACCUUAAAGGUGUCAUUUCAUUCCCGACUACGUGUUUAAUUUUUUUGUUAACUGUUAACCAUUGUGUCAUCAUUAAAAUUUUCGAAAAAUCUGGCUUCAGUGAGCCUCUGUUAACCUGGUUUAAGUUUUACUUAGAAAAUAGGCAUCAAUGGGUUAAAGUCUUUUGUUCCAAAUCAAAUACAUUCUUAGCAUCUUUUGGAGUGCUCCAGGGGAGUCACUUGUCUCCACUUCUGUACUCAUUGUUUGUCAAUAACGUUGAUCGUAUUCUGCAUCACUGUUACUUGCUGUGCUUUACUGAUGACAUGAAAAUCUAUAUGCGCAUUAACAAUCAUGACGACUGUGGCAAACUACAAAGCGAUCUGGACCGUUUUGUUAAGUUCUUCACCUUGUUAGAAUUAUCUCAAUUUCCAAAUGUAAAAUAAUGACGUUCAGUAGGAAAUGUUCCCCAAUUGUUCACUCCUACUACUACGUGAUGAUAAUUAUAAAUCCACUGAAUAGAAAAAGUAAAAAAAGCAACCAUGUAUAACUGUAUUUGGAAAUUCAUAUUUUACCGUAUUCAUUGCUGCUUUUUCGUACUCCAUUAUUAUACUAUUUGGGUUAACAUUUGGAUUAAUCGAUUUAACUGCUCGAAAAAACCGUUUGUAAGUUCAUCUUGUUUGUCAGACAGUAAAGCAUUAACAGAAGGGAUUACAUUUGAAUAAUGUAUACCAUGAAUAAUCGUGUAUAAUUGAGAAAAUAUUAAUGGAGCCCUAGAAAAAGUUCCAUCACAAAACCAGAGUUUUCAAUAUUUUCUAUUUGUUCAAAAUUUCUUUUUGUUACACAAAUUAAAAUACAUUUAGCAUCAUUGGAACCACUAUCAUAGGUACUGAAGAAAACGUCCACCAUCAGUUAUUAGUUUAAAUUUUUCUGGAAUAUUAAAAUCAAAGUCAACUGGAUUUUAAGGAGCUGAUAGCUCAGUUUGACGAACACGUUGUGUAGUCCUUUUUAAUGUCACAAUAUUCAGUAAUUGACCAGAUACCGACAUUUUUACCUAAAAUUAAAUUAAAUGUUUGAAAAAUUAAAAAACAAGUCGAUUUCAGCUAUUACGAUAAUCUGGUUAAUUUAUGUUAUUUAUAUUAAAAAUGAAUAACAAUAAUAAUCCGAUAAAAAUCGAAACUAACUAAUUUUAAAAACUUAUGAGUAUGAUGACAAUUUUUAAUAUAAAUACCUGAGCUAUAUAAUAAGACUGACUAAAGAAUUAUCCUUAAACAACACGGUAAAAGUGUUAUAUUGUGCAUUGGUGAGGCACAUUUUGGAAUACGGUUCACUAAUUUGGGACCUGCAAACUGCAAGUGGUUCUUUUCAGCUUGAAAGAGUCCAACGUACAUUUUUAAAGUACGUAAGUUUCAUUUUAGGCAUUCAGCGCCCCCCAACAUGAUUACACUUCAAUCACAAAGGUUCUUGACCUUGAAUACCUAGCUGGCCGUAGACGGAUGUUAGGUAAGUUUUUCCUUAGAGGUUUGUUAUCAAAUGGUAUUGAUAUUUUAUCCCUUAUAAACUUUAAAGUUCCGCAACGCUCUACCCGUACACUUAUGUCCUUUUAUAUUCCCAAAUCUAAAAACAGUUACAUGUAAAAUGAACCAAUGAGGAUCUCUCUUUUUUAAUCUAAUAUUAUCCUUAUUACUAUGUACUGUUUUGUUAAUUAUGUAUAUUAUUAUUACUACUAUUAUUUUUAUAAUUAUUACUAUUUAUAUUGCUAUGUAUUUUUCCUACUCUUUUGCUCAAAUGUAUGAUCUAAUUGUAUUCUAACGGUACCGCCCAUUAAUUAUUACUAAAAUAAACAAAUAAAUAAAUAAAUUAUGAUAAAAUAAUUAAUUUUACAUAACAUAUUUUGUUUAAUAAUAUUUGUUUAAUAUUGAUCGGAUUUUCCCGUUUUUUCAAGUUUUCCCAUGUUUUUUCCCGAUUUUUUAUAUUUGCUGGAAAAUUCUUGGGAAAAUCGAAAAAUUACCUUCUUAAAGUACCUUCUCAGUCAGAUUUCCAUUCAGAAAAUUUGCUAUUAUUGUAAAUCGGAACAAAAUUGCUGUUAGAAAAGUUGCUCACAGGAAAAAAAAGCCGAAAUAUUUUUCAACUAAUACCUACUUCCGUAUAUAUUCCUGUUUUUCUCAGUUUUAGAUUCUGAGUGUAGCGAAGAAUGUAUUGGUUUUACUAAGAUAUUUAUUUGUUUUUUUAUCCUGUGUACAAAAAUUUGACCAUAAAUCUUGCUCAGAUAUAUACGCGUGGCACUAUUUUUGAAAAGGAAUGUUGUCCAGAUGCUACUUUUGGGAGGUCAUAUUUUGAUUUUCCAAGUGGUUUUCAUUAUAUCUAUGAAAAACCAGAAUAAAACGUAAGAAAAACGAGAAAUGUACGAAAUUAUUGCUUGUAUUAUUUUAUCAAUUUUAUUAUUUGUUGUAAUUUAGUUUAAAAUAUUCGUAGAGAUUUGAAAUUUGGACAGAAAAUGUAUAUUUGCCUCUUUUAUACGUUUAGCCAUUUUUGAGCUAUAUACUGAUAUUUUAACUUUGCAAGUUUUGUACGUAAUUUUUAUUCGGUAAGUACUUUAUGGUAAAAUUGUUAGACUUAACAGAAAUGCUUGAAAAUUUAAUAGGUUCAUUACUUUGUGAUUGUACUACAUAUUUACUUACAUACAUACUUACUGUAUCUUUGUGAUAAAAAAAAAAAAAAACUAAGUUUAAUGUAGUAUUUGUUUUUAUAAAUUUUGAUACUACAUUUUGAAGAAAAUUGUUUAAGUAAAGAAUUAUAUGGAACAAAUUUAAUUUUUCAAUUUUUUUUUUUGAACAUUUGUAUAUUGCCGAUUUAAGAAGAAUAGUAAAGUCAGAAAAAUACUAAGGGUCUCGGGUUAAAACUCGCUGUUAGAAAAGAAAUUUGUUGUACUUUUUUUUCCCUUUAGCCUAAAUAGGGAAAUAAUACCUAGCUAUCGCUCGCUCGGACGAUUUUAAUCGAAAAAUACUCCUCGAUUUGUUGUGCAAAUUUUUCUACCAGAAAUUUUGCUGCCAUGUAUCAAGUAUUGCAUAUUUUCUGAAAUGAAAUUUUAUCUCCAUUGUUUAAGAAAAUCAUUUUUGCGACUUUUCAAUCGGUUUUCAUAAUAAUUGGAUAAAACCGGGAUAAAAUGUAUGAUAUGUAGGUAUUAGUAAAAACAUAUUAUGGCCCUUUUUCUGUGUACAACUUUUCUACCAUCCAUUUCACUCCGAUUUAUAACGAUAGCACUUUUUUUGAAAGUAAAUCUGACUGAGAAGAUACUUUAGGGAGGUUAUUUUUCGAUUUUUCCAGUUUUCUUAUCAAAUGUGAUAAUCUGGGAAAAACCAUGAGAAAACUGGGAAAACGGGAAAAUCGAUAUAAUAUUAACCAAAUAUUAUUAUAGAAAAUGUAUGUCUGAUAUUGUUGACAAAGCAUGACUAUCAACUGAACUGCACUCAGAAUCGUUUUUUCGUUAGCAAUGGUUUAUCGUUGAUUACAGAUAUACAUAUAUUAAAUUACCUAUAACAGUAGCUGCAUCCGUCUCCAUUAUCCUAGGACAUCUUUUUUUUUCGGUUUUUCACAUUUGUCGAGAAAAUUCCUGGGAAAAUCGAAAAAUGACCUUCUUAAAGUACCGUAUUCCAAGAAAAUUUAUUUUCAGAAAAGGACCUACUUUGUAUACAUCAGUGUAAGCUUUUAGGUAGAAAAAGUGUUCAUAUAAAAUAAAAUAAACACCUUUAUAAAUUCAAUACAUUCAUCGCUCCACUCAGAAUCUAAAAUUAUAAUAUAAUGCUGAGUUUGACAGUUGAAACUCUGAUAUUAAACAUUGGUAAUGCCCAUAUGUUUUUAUUUCUUGAAAUUUAGGUCUAACGUACCAAUUAUUGUAUAUUAUUGUAUAUUUUCAAUAUACAAAAACAAAAUUCUUAAAUUAAGAUUUAAAGAUAUAAAGUAUAUUUAUGUUAAAGCUACAUUUACUUGGGCUGAGGAGAAAUUAAAUGCACACGAAGAAUUAUAAUAUUACGCCUAUAUACUUGACGCUAGUGUUCAUACACUGCCAAAGCUCUUUUAUUAGAAAUUGAGAACAACAUUGUACAAAUAAAAAUAUAAAUACUCAAUUCCUUUAAUGGAAAUAGUUUGAGUCUACAAUGGUAUAAUCUAUUAUCUAUAUUGGCUAGAUAAAAAUAUAGGUUUUUUUUCAGAAAUACCAUUUAUAUUAGACAUAUUAUUAUACCACACGGAGAUUCCUUUAACUAGGAAAAACGGUGUACGCCAAGUGCCAACACGUACGCGAUACGCCGGCAGUGGAAUGGCGCCUUUAUGUCGUAUUUUAUAUUCGUAUCACGUACUCAAUCGUUGCAGGUCUACGACUAACUCCAAUAUGGGUAAUAUGGCCAAUUUCGUUUUUUCUAUUAGACUUUUCGUCAAACAGCAGUAUACAAUAUGCC